UCGUGCUUCUCGACCCGAAACCCUAAUUCUCCCCUUUUCUCCGAGCACUGUUGUUGUUGGCAAUGGCGCCUCUUGUAUGAUCGAGUUCUCGCGGAGCUUCUCAGUUCGUUGCUGUCACUGACUCUGCUUGCAUUUGCCAUGUGGUUCUGUUCACCAGUCUGUGGUUUAAAUCUACUGCCAGACUCUCUUCGAUUCAAUUCAAGCGUAGACGUGCCCGAGUGAGGGGAGCUAGAGCGAUGGCCUCGCAGGGCAAGCGCAAGCGUGACACAGAUGGAGUUGCCAAUGGCGCCGUGCUUGCCAACGGCAGUGGCACGGGAGGACCGCAUCCCGACAACGUCGCCCCCAGCAAGGUCGACCUGCAGGCGAUGGAAGCCUCGGCCGAUAUUGUGGAGGUGAUCGACGUGCGGCGCUUGAAGAAGCUCGUGCUCGGGUUUGAACGCAAACUGCGAGACAAUCUGGAGGCGCGCAUGAAGUUUUUCGAUCAGCCUGAGAAGUUCAUGGAGUCAGAAAUGGACUUGGACGAAGAAGUGAAGAAGCUGCAUGCCCUGGCAGCUAAUCCUGACCUGUAUCCGGAGCUUGUGCGGCUCGGGUCGGUCCCGUCGAUUUUAGGUUUGCUUGGCCAUGACAAUACGGAUAUUGCCAUGUCCGUCGUGACUUUGCUUAGCGAUUUGACAGAUGAGGAUGUGAUUGGGGAGAGCGAUGAGCCGGCCUUAGUUUUGGUGGAUGCGUUGAUUGAGAACAAUGCAUUAGAGCUUCUAGUACAAAACCUGGGGCGGAUGGACGAGGUGGACAGCGACGAGGCGGCAUGCGUUUUCAAUACGCUGUCGAUCAUUGAGAACAUGACAGAAGUAAAACCUGCGGUUGCGGAGCUUGUGUGUGAGAGGACAAAGUUUUUGAGGUGGAUUUUGAACAGAAUCAAACUGCGGGAAUUCGACAGUAAUAAGUUUUAUGCAAGCGAAAUUCUGGCCAUUUUGCUGCAAAACAGUGAGGCGAAUCAGAAGCGCGUAGGACAGCUGAAUGGUGUGGAUACCUUACUACAAGCUGUUGCGUUCUACAAGUCUAGAGACCCGAAGACUUCUGAAGAAGAAGAGAUGCUUGAAAAUCUGUUUAAUAGUCUCUGUAGUGUUGUAAUGCCAAUGGAGAACAAGGACCGGUUUGUGAAAGCUGAAGGCGUCGAACUAAUGAUUAUCAUCAUGAAGCAAAAAAGGCUUGCUUAUGGAUCUGCCAUGAAGGCUCUAGACUUCGCCAUGACAAGGUGCUCAGCCGCCUGCGAACGGUUCGUCGAUGUGUUGGGACUGAAAACACUUUUCGCCGCUUUUAUGGGAAAGAUACCUGUGAAGGGGAAGAACCGAGGGGACAGGAACUAUGAGGAGAUUGAGGAGCGUGUGAUCUCCAUAACCUCUUCUCUUUUUGGCAGUUUGACACGGGGUUCGAGACGAGAACGGUUGCUGAACAAAUUUAUGGAGAACGAAUUCGAGAAAGUUGAUCGGCUAAUGGAGCUUUAUCUUAGAUAUUCUGAUCGUGUUAAAGCUGAGUCAAAAAGGCUUGAUGAGCCGGAUGAUGACGACGAUCAGCGCAGAUGGAUGACGAUGAAAAAUAUCUUGCCAAGUUGGAGGCAGGCCUCUAUACACUGCAGCUCCUCGCUCUCAUUCUGGCACAUAUAUGGGCGUCAGAGAACGUAGGCAUAAGGGAACGAAUAGGACUAUUAUUGAAGCAGCGUCGCCUUUCAAGGGAGGAUAUUAAAGUUGUAUUACAGGAAUACCACGACAAUAUAGGAGAUACGGAGGGUUUAGAAGAGCGAGACAAGCGACGGGGCAAGAUUCAGAGGCUACUUAGUUCUAUGUGACGAAGCCUGGAAAAUAUUGCAACAUUAUGUAUUCAGGUCACUGUACAUUUUUCUUCUCCUCACCAAAAGCUAUGGAUAGGCCUUUUAAGUUGUCUACUCAUUUGCUGCAAAGUUUAGAUUUAAUUACAGAUGUGUUCCUCUUCCUUUGGACUGUUCUGUUGUGAAUGAUGCAUUCGUUUGGCAGAUGAAGGAAAAGCAGUCUAGGCUUGAACCUAACGUGUUCCGUACUUGUGCAAGAGACUUAAAUUCUGGGUUCUGGGUUACUGUAAAUAGCUGUGGGGCAGUGCUCACAACCACUUUUGCCAUACUCGAUGAAUCCUGUAAUUCUACGGAGCACGAAUGCAACAUUCCCAUCCUAUUCUCUCAUAGUAGACAAUCGAACCAAAUUCCUUGUAGGCAAAACUUACAACGGACCAAUGGCUUGAAUGGUUCGUAUCAUGUAAUUGAUGAAAUUUUGGUGCUUGGUUUUCAACUUGGAUAA